GAUGAACGCUGGCGGCGUGCCUAAUACAUGCAAGUCGAGCGAACGGACGAGAAGCUUGCUUCUCUGAUGUUAGCGGCGGACGGGCGAGUAACACGUGGAUAACCUACCUAUAAGACUGGGAUAACUUCGGGAAACCGUAGCUAAUACCGGAUAAUAUUUUGAACCGCAUGGUUCAAAAGUGAAAGACGGUCUUGCUGUCACUUAUAGAUGGAUCCGCGCUGCAUUAGCUAGUUGGUAAGGUAACGGCUUACCAAGGCAACGAUGCAUAGCCGACCUGAGAGGGUGAUCGGCCACACUGGAACUGAGACACGGUCCAGACUCCUACGGGAGGCAGCAGUAGGGAAUCUUCCGCAAUGGGCGAAAGCCUGACGGAGCAACGCCGCGUGAGUGAUGAAGGUCUUCGGAUCGUAAAACUCUGUUAUUAGGGAAGAACAGAUGUGUAAGUAACUGUGCACAUCUUGACGGUACCUAAUCAGAAAGCCACGGCUAACUACGUG
rnacentral:rRNA from 1 species